CAGCAGCCGCGGUAAUACAGAGGAUGCAAGCGUUGUCCGGAAUUAUUGGGCGUAAAGGGCUCGCAGGCGGUUUCUUAAGUCUGAUGUGAAAGCCCCCGGCUCAACCGGGGAGGGUCAUUGGAAACUGGGAAACUUGAGUGCAGAAGAGGAGAGUGGAAUUCCACGUGUAGCGGUGAAAUGCGUAGAGAUGUGGAGGAACACCAGUGGCGAAGGCGACUCUCUGGUCUGUAACUGACGCUGAGGAGCGAAAGCGUGGGGAGCGAACAGGAUUAGAUACCCCCGUAGUCCCUGUCUCUUAUAC
rnacentral:rRNA from 1 species